GAUUAUGGCGUCAGGAUGAACGCUAGCGGCAGGCUUAACACAUGCAAGUCGCGGGGCAGCGCGGGUAGCAAUACCUGGCGGCGACCGGCGGAAGGGUGCGUAACGCGUGAGCAACAUGCCCGUCUCAGGGGGAUAACCGAUGGAAACGUCGCCUAAUACCCCGUAACAACAGAGGCCGCAUGACCUUUGUUUGAAAGCUCCGGCGGAGACGGAUUGGCUCGCGUGACAUUAGCUGGUUGGCGGGGUAACGGCCCACCAAGGCGACGAUGUCUAGGGGUUCUGAGAGGAAGGUCCCCCACACUGGAACUGAGACACGGUCCAGACUCCUACGGGAGGCAGCAGUGAGGAAUAUUGGUCAAUGGACGCAAGUCUGAACCAGCCAUGCCGCGUGCAGGAAUGAGGCCCUUAAUGGGUCGUAAACUGCUUUUGCUGCGGAGCAAUAAGUGCUACGUGUAACACGAUGAGAGUACGCAGCGAAUAAGCAUCGGCUAACUCCGUGCCAGCCGCCGC
rnacentral:rRNA from 1 species